UGGAAAAAGCACAGGUCACAGAUCCUACUGUGACUUGUGUUUCUUUUUCCCAA
rnacentral:miRNA from 1 species